rnacentral:tRNA from 1 species
GGGGAUUUAGCUCAGUGGUAGAGCGCUUGCCUAGCAAACGCAAGGCCCUGGGUUCAAUCCCCAGACCCG